rnacentral:misc_RNA from 1 species
CUGCUGAGAGAAAUGGUUAAACAUUUAGUGUUUUAUCUUAUUAGUCUGUGCUUGGCCUCAACAUUGGGCCUUCAUGGCUCAUUCAGUCAUUACAUCAAGACUCAUGAUUUUCUAAUGUAUCUCCCUUUGAAAAGAUUGAAGGGAAUAACUAAGAAAACCUAUUCAAAAUCAUACAUAUGCUAUUCACUGCUAUAUUCCUAAGAAAAAUCAUGUUAGCAAAAAAACUAAG